AAGCAACACUCUGUGGCAGACUGUCAAUCAUCUGACACAAUUUGCGCUUGCUAUAGCAAGGAAGUCUAACCUAUUCCGGUGUGCACUCUGCUGUGAGGCCGACUGUUAUUCAGCCUUAAACAGU
ensembl:snoRNA